GAUGAACGCUAGCGGCAGGCUUAAUACAUGCAAGUCGUGGGGCAGCACAGGGUAGCAAUACUUGGGUGGCGACCGGCAAACGGGUGCGGAACACGUACGCAACCUUCCUUCAGGCGGGGAAUAGCCCAGAGAAAUUUGGAUUAAUACCCCAUAAGAUUUUGAGAUGGCAUCAUCUUAUUAUUAAAGAUUUAUCACCUGAAGAUGGGCGUGCGGCUGAUUAGGUAGUUGGCGGGGUAACGGCCCACCAAGCCUACGAUCAGUAGCUGAUGUGAGAGCAUGAUCAGCCACACGGGCACUGAGACACGGGCCCGACUCCUACGGGAGGCAGCAGUAAGGAAUAUUGGUCAAUGGACGCAAGUCUGAACCAGCCAUGCCGCGUGGAGGAUGAAGGUCCUCUGGAUUGUAAACUUCUUUUAUCUGGGACGAAAAAAGGGUUUUCUAACUCGUCUGACGGUACCAGAUGAAUAAGCACCGGCUAACUCCGUG
rnacentral:rRNA from 1 species